rnacentral:rRNA from 1 species
CCUACGGGAGGCAGCAGUGAGGAAUAUUGGUCAAUGGACGAGAGUCUGAACCAGCCAAGUAGCGUGAAGGAUGACUGCCCUAUGGGUUGUAAACUUCUUUUAUAUGGGAAUAAAACGUUCCACGUGUGGGAUUUUGUAUGUACCAUAUGAAUAAGGAUCGGCUAACUCCGUGCCAGCAGCCGCGGUAAUACGGAGGAUCCGAGCGUUAUCCGGAUUUAUUGGGUUUAAAGGGAGCGUAGGUGGAUUUUUAAGUCAGUUGUGAAAGUUUGCGGCUCAACCGUAAAAUUGCAGUUGAAACUGGCAGUCUUGAGUACAGUAGAGGUGGGCGGAAUUCGUGGUGUAGCGGUGAAAUGCUUAGAGAUCACGAAGAACUCCGAUUGCGAAGGCAGUUCACUGGACUGCAACUGACACUGAGGCUCGAAAGUGUGGGUAUCAAACAGGAUUAGAUACCCCGGUAGUC